UCCGAUCUUUUCUCUAUUCUCAUUUCGAUUUCUUAGUGCUAAAUCUGAUUCUACGUUUAUCAUUAGUAUAAAUCUCUUUUCCCCUCUUUUCGUGUAAUAUACCACAAAUUACGGUUGAAAAAAAAAAUAAAAAAAUUGAAUAAAUAAACUCAGGCUGAGGCGUGGAUAUCUCCACAAAUUAUAAGUAGUGGAAGGAAAUGCAGCAAAAUAUAGCGGAUUAGAUGUAGAGAUCGAGGCGUAGUUGGUCCGUUUGAGGCUUUGAGCUUUGGCUGUUUCAACAUUUUCUUAUUGAUCCAAGCUGUAGUCGAUUGGAAAUGUUGAGUCCGAUUGUAAAAGGAAAUUCUUUAGAGGAAAAAAAAAGAAGAAAACGAAAUAUGGAAGGCUAUGCUAUUUGUUGCAUUAUAUGGUUAAUUAGUGCCGGUUGCUCUGUUUGUCUAGUUUUGAUUUUACGUGAAAUUUAAGAAACUGAAAAAGACUGUUGAAUUUGGUGGCCUUAAACUGAUUAUAUGUCAAAUAUGCAGAAAUAUCCUUUAAUUUUGUGGGCUUAAACCUGCACACAUUGGAGUUUAAGAGCUGCCAAAAAAGGAAAGAGACGUUCUAUUUGAAAUGAACUAAAAAAGGAAAGUAGACAAACAAUCUGAAACGGAGGGAUUAGUGAUUACGAUAUUGUUUUAUGAUAAUCGUGGUGUUUGGGUCAGCUUGCAUGUACCUUGACUAAUUUCAUGUGGUACCCGCCAAACCUCGCACCAACAAGUAUCAAGGAACUCUAUUUCACCAAGGCUAGGACAUACGAAAAGAAAUCACCUAGUGUUUUUUGUCUCUGCUAGAGUUUGAACCUGAGGCCGUGGUUCUCAACACAUUUCAUUGAUCACUAGGCCACACCCUUGGUUGCAUUAAAAAUGACUACCUUUUUAUUGGCAGACUUCUUGUUGUUCUGGCAUGGGGUAUUGUUGUUUGUUUUUUUAAUUACAUGGAGCCAAACUAAGGAUGUGAGCUUGCCUGUAGUAAUAAGAUGUCAACACGGACUAACUUUGUUUGGUUGGAUACAUACAUACAACUCAAAUCACCAAUGGAGCCGUGGUACCCUUUUCGAUUCAUUUUUGUGCGCCAGAGGAGAGGAAGGUAGUCAUAAGGAAGAUGCCUGAACAAAUGAUUCUGUCAGAAGUUGGGCACAUAGUGGAGAAUAAGAAGCUAGAGGAAACUAGGCAUGCUGAUGGACUAUUAGCUUGGUGGCACUGAUUUAAUUCUUUAAUAAUGUUCUGCUCUCCUGAGGAUUGCCGUGUACAAUUUACAAAAGAGUUGGACUCAUUAUUUGAAAAAAUGGGUGAAUGCAUACAAGAGGCUGCUAUUGAUUACUAUUUCAAGCCAAUAAACAUGGAAGCAGAGUAAUAGUGAAAAUGCAGCUUGAAGGAGGGGAGAAUAGAACGAAGGAGAUGAUGAAUAUCUUGCAGAAACAAAUUUUUCUUGUGAAACAUCGUGCGGAGAAACUACUAAGUGCAGAAAAUGUGGUCAACAAGCAUGACCAUGAUAAAGCAUCUACAUAGAUUACACCAGAAGUAAGAUGAUUUUGUAGAGUAUAAAAUUGUUCUUGAUAUUAAAACUAUAACAAUUCAUAUAGUUUUGCUUCUUAGAUGUGGCAUGGUUUUGGCGAUUGAAUGAAUGAAAAGGAUCUGUCUGGCUGUCCCUUUCAGAGCA